rnacentral:rRNA from 1 species
CCUACGGGAGACAGCAGUGGGGAAUAUUGGGCAAUGGGCGCAAGCCUGACCCAGCAACGCCGCGUGAAGGAAGAAGGCUUUCUGGUUGUAAACUUCUUUUCUCAGGGACGAAGCAAGUGACGGUACCUGAGGAAUAAGCCACGGCUAACUACGUGCCAGCAGCCGCGGUAAUACGUAGGUGGCAAGCGUUAUCCGGAUUUAAUGGGUGUAAAGGGCGUGUAGGCGGGGACGCAAGUCAGAUGUGAAAACUACGGGCUCAACCGUUUGAUUGCAUUUGAAACUGUGUUUCUUGAGUACUGGAGAGGCAGACGGAAUUCGUAGUGUAGCGGUGAAAUGCGUAGAUAUUAGGAGGAACACCAGUGGCGAAGGCGGUCUGCUGGACAGCAACUGACGCUGAGGCGCGAAAGCGUGGGGAGCAAACAGGAUUAGAUACCCGGGUAGUC